rnacentral:rRNA from 1 species
CAGUCGCCGCGGGAAUACGUAGGGUGCGAGCGUUAAUCGGAAUUACUGGGCGUAAAGCGUGCGCAGGCGGUUUUGUAAGACAGGCGUGAAAUCCCCGGGCUCAACCUGGGAAUGGCGCUUGUGACUGCAAAGCUAGAGUGCGGCAGAGGGGGAUGGAAUUCCGCGUGUAGCAGUGAAAUGCGUAGAUACGCGGAGGAACACCGAUGGCGAAGGCAAUCCCCUGGGCCUGCACUGACGCUCAUGCACGAAAGCGUGGGGAGCAAACAGGAUUAGAUACCCCCGUAGUCCCUGUUCUCUUAUA